AAUAAUAACAAUGAAUUAAAAUACAAAAUCAAUGAUGCCAUACAAUAGUAUUAAUAAUAUCAAAAUAAUUAAUUUAAUGAUAAAAUAACUAAAACAACAAAUAGAGGAUUAAAUUAGAAACUAAACUAAAAUUUGGGGUCAAAUAAAAAUAACUUAAAGAGGGUGACUCGGGACUAAAACAAAAUGCGCUGAAGGAGCAAGGGACUUCCAGGGAAAUAUUCCCUAGUCCUGAAACGCAGCACUUCAGCAAGGAUUAAAAUGAAAUCAGAAAAAAAUUUAUGGGCCAAAAUGAAAGAAACAAAAGGGACAAAUUGCACUGAACUAUAAAAGAGGAGGGGCUGAACGCGCAAAUAGCCCCUCCAGGCAUAACACGCGGAUCCUGACCGCAUUCGGGUCGGGUCUCGGAUCGGCUCCUGGGUUUUAUGCCAAACGGUGCUGUUUUGGCCAUGGAUGCUAAGGUCCAAAACGUCGCCGUUUUUAAACUAUAUAAACACUCAAAAAAUCAACAAAAAAAAAAUUCAUCCCUUAUUUUUUUCAAAAAAACUGAGAGUCUCCCUAACUCUCUCUCAACCCCCAUCCCUCAUAUUCGGCCGACGACCUUCUUAGGCCUCCGUCGCGCCACCUCGUAGCCGGAGGUCGGCGCCGGAAAUGAAAGGCCAUUAAACCCCUUUUGUGGAGUCCUUGAGAGCCAGGCUCUCUCAACCCGCGAGGAGUGAAACAAAAGGGGGACCCUCGACCUUGGCAGACCCGACUCAACGAUGGAGGAGAGAGCCUCUGGCGGCACAGUCACGGCCAACUCCAGUGUCAGAGGCUGACGGUCGGUGAUAGGCGAGUAACGGCCUGCGUGAGGAGUGGCAGAGGAGGCAGAACAUGCGGCGCUGGGCAUUGGGCAGAGGCGUGCGGCGCUUUGGGGUUUGCUCUUGGCUGAAAUUGUUUAAGUUGUGGGGCAGUCGAGCCACUAGGGUUUUUUUUUAUUGGGACGUUUGGGCCAUUGUAAUUUUGGGUUUAAGUUUGCUGUAAAUGGACUGGAAUAGUUUUUAUUUUUUAGGCCCGGGCCAAAAUUGGGCCUUACAAAGUCGAUAUGACAUUACACAAAUGAUAAUAUGUUUGUCACACCAAAUUUUAGAGAUAGCAGAACUUAAUGAAUUUAACAAAUAUCGUUUACGGUGA